UUAGGUUCAGGACAGACACUGAUUCGAGAAACCCUCACUCGAACACACCCUCGUCCAGCCAGCAACAUGAAGUCUUCGCUCCUCGUCCUCGUCCUCGCCGUUGCUGUCCUCAUGCCGCGGAGGAGAAAAAGAACACGGCGGAGGUUAAGGUCGAGAAGAAGGACGGCAAAGUGAAAACCGAAGUCAAGUACGAGCACAGAUUCAACAAACACUUCAGCGUCGACGCCGGAGUCAGUCAUUCGCACGGAGGAGGGAAAAGUGACACGGCUGGCACCAUUGGCGGAACAAUCAGAUUUCGUCGAUCACCGGAAGGGAUGAGGUAUUGAGAAGGCUAGAAGGAUUAUUUGCUUUAGUCUUCCCAUCUGUUCACUUAAUGAAUGAACACGGAAAUACUCACAAGUCAAAAUUUCCUCUUCAACAUCUGAAUUACAUUAACUAUUGAAACAUGCGUAUUUCACUUUAAUUUAAAUUUGAUUCUUCCUUAUCCAUAUAUCUGAACUCUUGGAACAAUAAACCCGAUUUUUAUGAUCGUAUUUUCUGGACAACUGCCGUAAAUAUUUUGUAAUAUGAAUAUAAUUCUUAUAAACA